GACGAACGCUGGCGGCGUGCUUAACACAUGCGAGUCGAACGGUAAGGCCCUUCGGGUACACGAGUGGCGAACAGGUGAGUAACACGUGGGUGAUCUGCCCUGCACUUCGGGAUAAGCCUGGGAAACUGGGUCUAAUACCGGAUAGGACUCCUGGCUUCAUGGUUGGGGGUGUAAAGCUUUUGCGGUGUGGGAUGGGCCCGCGGCCUAUCAGCUUGUUGGUGGGUAAUGGCCUACCAAGGCGACGACGGGUAGCCGGCCUGAGAGGGUGACCGGCCACACUGGGACUGAGAUACGGCCCAGACUCCUACGGGAGGCAGCAGUGGGGAAUAUUGCACAAUGGGCGCAAGCCUGAUGCAGCGACGCCGCGUGAGGGAUGACGGCCUC
rnacentral:rRNA from 1 species